rnacentral:rRNA from 1 species
CGUGUCGUGAGAUGUUGGGUUAAGUCCCGCAACGAGCGCAACCCUUGUCUUAUGUUGCCAGCACGUAAUGGUGGGGACUCGUAAGAGACUGCCGGGGUCAACUCGGAGGAAGGUGGGGACGACGUCAAGUCAUCAUGCCCCUUAUGUCCAGGGCUUCACACAUGCUACAAUGGUCGGUACAGAGGGCUGCGAUACCGUGAGGUGGAGCGAAUCCCUUAAAGCCGGUCUCAGUUCGGAUCGGGGUCUGCAACUCGACCCCGUGAAGUCGGAGUCGCUAGUAAUCGCAGAUCAGCAACGCUGCGGUGAAUACGUUCCCGGGCCUU